CCUGCCUUAGCUCAGUGGUAGAGCGCUAGACUGUAUAUCUAUUGGUCGCCGGUUCGAACCCGGCAGGCAGGA